CAGUCGCCGCGGGAAUACGGAGGGUGCAAGCGUCAAUCGGAAUUACUGGGCGUAAAGCGCACGCAGGCGGUUUGUUAAGUCAGAUGUGAAAUCCCCGGGCUCAACCUGGGAACUGCAUCUGAUACUGGCAAGCUUGAGUCUCGUAGAGGGGGGUAGAAUUCCAGGUGUAGCGGUGAAAUGCGUAGAGAUCUGGAGGAAUACCGGUGGCGAAGGCGGCCCCCUGGACGAAGACUGACGCUCAGGUGCGAAAGCGUGGGGAGCAAACAGGAUUAGAUACCCGUGUAGUCCCUGUCUCUUAUAC
rnacentral:rRNA from 1 species